rnacentral:lncRNA from 1 species
AACUUUAAAAAACCAGAUUUAUUGUAUAGGCUUGUUUAUAUGUAUAUCAAGCAUUAUCAAUAUUUUAAGCAUCAAAAGUCUACAAUUCUACAUAAAAUAUAAGCAAUAAGACAAGAAAAAAAUCAUUUAUUAUUAUUACAGAGUAAAAUAACAUAUGUGGUAUUAUGCAUGUUGUGGUAGUAAAUAAAACACGAAGACUGACGGAGUAAUUAUUGUAUUGCAGACGAAUAAUAUAAACCUCUUAAUACCUACUCAUCAUAUUGAUCAGUUUAAGUAUAAUUCCACUUCAUUUCUUUUGAAAAGGUAUACUUUUAAAUGGAAUUGGGUGUAACUGAUGGAAAGAAGACGGUAAAAUUUUACACCCAUCUGAGUUCACACAUGAUUUUAAUAAUUUUGCAUCAUUGACUGAAGUUUAGGUUAAUCCUAACUAUCAAUUGAAAUUAAGA